AGCGAACGCUAGUGGUAUGCUUUAUACAUGCAAGUCGAACGAAGUUUUGUUAUGAAGUAGCAAUAUGGAAUGAUAAAACUUAGUGGCGAACGGGUGAGUAAUAGUUAGGAACUUACCGAAUAGUGGGGGACAACGGGUAGAAAUGCCUGCUAAUACCGCAUAUUCCCGAGAGGGGAAAGAUUUAUCGCUAUUUGAGAGGCCUAACCACGAUUAGCUUGUUGGCGGGGUAAAUGCCCACCAAGGCAGUGAUCGUUAGCUGGUCUGAGAGGAUGAUCGGCCACAUUGGGACUGAGACACGGCCCAGACUCC
rnacentral:rRNA from 1 species